AGACAAUGUCAACCACCAACACAACAGCCACGUGACGAUAUACAAGAAGAAAUCAUUCUGUCUGAUGUGAAAAACAUCAUGAGAUGUGUCAAACAGAAACUGCCUAACGAAGACAACAAGCUCAAUAAUUUCCUGAAG